AUGCACGCUGGCGGCGUGCCUAAUACAUGCAAGUCGAGCGAACAGACGAGGAGCUUGCUCCUCUGACGUUAGCGGCGGACGGGUGAGUAACCCGUGGAUAACCUACCUAUAAGACUGGGAUAACUUCGGGAAACCGGAGCUAAUACCGGAUAAUAUAUUGAACCGCAUGGUUCAAUAGUGAAAGACGGUUUUGCUGUCACUUAUAGAUGGAUCCGCGCCGCAUUAGCUAGUUGGUAAGGUAACGGCUUACCAAGGCAACGAUGCGUAGCCGACCUGAGAGGGUGAUCGGCCACACUGGAACUGAGACACGGUCCAGACUCCUACGGGAGGCAGCAGUAGGGAAUCUUCCGCAAUGGGCGAAAGCCUGACGGAGCAACGCCGCGUGAGUGAUGAAGGUCUUCGGAUCGUAAAACUCUGUUAUUAGGGAAGAACAAAUGUGUAAGUAACUAUGCACGUCUUGACGGUACCUAAUCAGAAAGCCACGGCUAACUACGUG
rnacentral:rRNA from 1 species